GACUGCGGACGGCUCAGUAUAUCAGUUAUAAUCUGCCCGAUUGUAUAGGUUAUUGGAUAACCGUGGGAAAUCUAGAGCUAAUACAUGUACCUUUGUGUGUGGUUUCGGCUGCAUACCUUGCAUUUAUUAGACAAUACUAACCGUAUGACUUAUGUUAUGCGUGGUGAAUCUAGAUAACUUUGCAGAUCGUAUGGCCUUUGUGCUGACGACAUUUCGGUUGAGUUUCUGCCCUAUCACCUUUCGACCAGUGUAUUGAACUGGACCGGGGAUGACGGGUAACGGAGGAUCAGGGUUCGAUCCCGGAGAGGGAGCCUGAGAAACGGCUACCACAUCCAAGGAAGGCAGCAGGCGCGAAAAUUACCCAAUCCAGACAGUGGGAGGUGGUGACGAAGAGUACCAAAUAACUGCCAAUGGUAGUUAAUUCGGAAUGGAAUCAAUAUAAGUAAUUGAUUGAGUAACGACUGGAGGGCAAGUCUGGUGCCAGCAGCCGCGGUAAUUCCAGCUCCAGUAGCGUAUCUCAAAGUUGCUGCGCUUAAAAAGCUCGUAGUUGGAUCAGUAACCACUUUAAAAUAUGUAUUUGUGUGUGUCAUACGACUUAAUUGCGUACAUGAGCAUCCUGUGCGAUUGUAGCGUUAAUGUUGAGCAUAUGCAGUUACAUUUACUUUUAAUGUGGUAGUUGCACGUGAGGAUGAUUGUUGACCUUUAGUGUGUUGAUAGUCGUGUCUUACGGAAUGUGCCUUGAGUAAAUCAGAGUGCUCAAAGCAGGCAGUAUGCUUGAAUGUUGAUAGCAUGGAACGAACAAUCUUGUAGAGUGUAUGUUGAUAAAUGGUGCCCAUUGAUCACAGGUAACACUGUUGAUUCUUUGGGAUACUACAACGUACAACAACGACCACCAAUAACGGAUGUUGGUUCCGUAUUGGGGUAAUGAUUAAGAGGAGCGGUUGGGGGCAUUGGUAUUUGGCAGCGAGAGGUGAAAUUCUAGAACCUGCCAAGGACUAACAAAUGCGAAGGCAUCUGUCCAGACCGUAUCCAUUAAUCAAGAACGAUAGUGAGAGGUUCGAAGACGAUCAGAUACCGUCCUAGUUCUCACUGUAAACUAUGCCGACUCGGGAUCAGUUUGGAGUAAAAUAUAAACGCUCGAGGUUGGUCCCCCUGGGAAACCUAAAGUUUUUCGGUUGCGGGGGGAGUAUGGUCGCAAGGCUGAAACUUAAAGGAAUUGACGGAAGGGCACCACCAGGGGUGGAGCCUGCGGCUUAAUUUGACUCAACACGGGAAAACUUACUUGAUCCGGACAUUAAAAGGAUAAUCAGACCAAUAGAUCUUAUUUGAUAUAAUGAUUGGUGGUGCAUGGCCGUUCUUAGUUCGUGGAGUGAUUUGUCAGGUUUAUUCCGGUAACGGACGAGAUCACGUUCUCCAUUUGAAGAGUUGGAGUAGGUCGCCAGUUACUCUCUAGUAAUGUUAACACGUUGUUAGGAGUGACAUGGUUACUGUAGGCAGUGUGAAAAAGGACUAGCAAUUGAGUGAUGUGGACUUGUUCAUAAAGCAAGAUUGUUAGUUACUUUCGUGCUCCCUCCAUUCGCAAUGUUGUUGUUGUCAAAAGCGAUGCAUUGUAUCAUGGAGAGACAACGGAAAAAUGAAAUCCGAGGAAGUGUGGCUAUAACAGGUCUGUGAUGCCCUUAGAUGUUCAGGGCUGCACGCGCGCUACAAUGGUGGUGACAACGAGUGUCUGAAUCGAAAGAUUCGGGUAAUCUUGUAAUCAUCACCGUGAUGGGAAUUGAUGUUUGUAAAUACGUCAUGAAAGAGGAAUCCCUAGUACGUGCGAUUCAUGAGAUCGCGCGGAUUUAGUCCCUGCCCUUUGUACACACCGCCCGUCGCUACUACCGAGUGAAUAGUGUCAUAAUGCCUUGGGAGCGGACAUUACGCGGG
rnacentral:rRNA from 1 species